rnacentral:rRNA from 1 species
UAACAAGGUUUCCGUAGGUGAACCUGCGGAAGGAUCAUUGUCGAUGCCUGCAAAGCAGAACGACCCGCGAACCGUUUUCCAACGCUCGGGAUACCGGGGGGCGUCCGGUCGCUCGGUAGACCGAGUCUCCGUACGUCGAGGGUGGUGCAUCCCACCUCCGGCGAACGGACCCCUAAACAAACCCCGGCGCGCGAAGCGCCAAGGUACUCCAAUAGUAGGGCACGCGCCCGUAGCCCUGGGUUCCAGUGUGCUCGGGCCGCCGCCCAACGUUGUAAUAAAGUCUGAACGACUNNNGUGUGAAUUGCAGAAUCCCGUGAACCAUCGAGUCUUUGAACGCAAGUUGCGCCCGAGGCCUCGGCCGAGGGCACGUCUGCCUGGGUGUCACGCACCAUUUUGCCUCCAAACCCUCCGCCCCUCGAACGUUGCGGCGAUGGUUUGGAUGCGGAAGCUGGCCUCCCGUGACCGCGAGCCACGGAUGGCCCAAACACGUGCUGGGUAAGCGAAGCGCCACGGCAUUCGGUGGUCGAUCUAAGCCCCGUAAACGGUGCCGGUGGUGGCCGCAUCCGACCACAGCCCGCGGCCCUAAACGCUACACGACGCGACCCCAGGUCAGGCGGGGCUACCCGCUGAGUUUAAGCAUAUCAAUAAGCGGAGG